rnacentral:rRNA from 1 species
UACGUAGGUGGCAAGCGUUGACCGGAAUUACUGGGCGUAAAGAGCGCGCAGGCGGUCGUUUAAGUCGGGUGUGAAAGCCCCCGGCUCAACUGGGGAGGGGCGGGCGAUACUGAUCGACUCGAAGGCAGGAGAGGGAAGUGGAAUUCCCGGUGUAGUGGUGAAAUGCGUAGAGAUCGGGAGGAACACCAGUGGCGAAGGCGGCUUCCUGGCCUGAUAUUGACGCUGAGGCGCGAAAGCUUGGGGAGCAAACGGG